rnacentral:piRNA from 1 species
UCCACGGAAUACUUCCCAGCCUACAAUAUGGA